CCCAAGACACUUUAUUGAUAUAUAUUUAUAGUUUUCAUUUGUAAUAUUUUAUUCAGAGAGUUAAAAAAAAAACAACAGGUUUAUCUAAUGUUAUCGUGGAGUCCACGAGUUGUGAUUUAUUGGAUAAAUAACGUAAGAUAUUUUUUGUAUAAGGUAUCUCAAGAAACUUCAUUGUCAAUAAACAAGGGUUAGCUAAUAUUAUCUUGGAGUAAAUGAGUUGUGAUUUAAUGAAGAAACAAAGUAAGGUUUUUCUUUUGUAUGGUUUCCUUAGAAACCUUAUAUAUUUUUAUAUGUUGUAUUUCAUUGAGAGUAUUUUUUAAAACAACAUAAAUAUCUAAUGUUAUGGAGUCAUUGAGUUGUGGUUUAUUGGAUAAACAACGUAAGAUAUUUUUUACCAUAUGGCGUUUCAUGAAACUUAGUUGAUUUAUAUUUAUAGUUUUUAGAGAUAACAAACAUUUCAAGGCUUUUCUUUGUGGAAAAAAAGUAAUUUGUGAAAUUUAUUGGUUUAAAAUCUUAAAUUUUUAGAGAGUAAAGUAGAAGUUUCAUAUUCACAAAGUUUUUUUAAAUAUUUUUCUUUUGAAUUAUAUUUCUAAAAGUAUUUAUAUUUAAAUACUUUUAUUAUGUUGUUGGCAUCUUAUACGACUGCAUGAUUUAUUUCAUUUGACACCAAAUAACAGGACAGAUUAGAUUUUUAAAGACGAAUGUUAUAUAAAAGUAUAAACAGUAAAUACAAUUAUAACAUUUAUAUUUAAAAAUAUUUAUUACUUAUUUAAUGUUAUUACUAACUUGUAUUGUUUGUUUUGCAAUUACUUUAUUUUUAGUUAUUUACGUUACAGUUUUAUACUUAUUUUACAAUUUCUUGACUUUUGGCUAUUUUUUUAACUUUUGUAAUUACUAAAUCUUUCAGAUGGGGCUUGGCAGGCAACAAAUAUAGAUAUAUCAAGAAGUAUCAAACGUUAGCUCAUGCAAGCAUCAAGUUGGAAUUAUUGUAGAAGUUUAACUUUUCGCUAACCUUAAACUUUUAUAUGUAUUGUAUUGAAAGAAUAUUUUAUUGAAAUAAAAAUAUUUGGUAAUAUAAA